rnacentral:rRNA from 1 species
AGAGUUUGAUCAUGGCUCAGAUUGAACGCUGGCGGCAGGCUUAACACAUGCAAGUCGAGCGGAGAGAGGUAGCUUGCUACUGAUCUUAGCGGCGGACGGGUGAGUAAUGCUUAGGAAUCUGCCUAUUAGUGGGGGACAACAUUUCGAAAGGAAUGCUAAUACCGCAUACGUCCUACGGGAGAAAGCAGGGGAUCUUCGGACCUUGCGCUAAUAGACGAGCCUAAGUCGGAUUAGCUAGUUGGUGGGGUAAAGGCCUACCAAGGCGACGAUCUGUAGCGGGUCUGAGAGGAUGAUCCGCCACACUGGGACUGAGACACGGCCCAGACUCCUACGGGAGGCAGCAGUGGGGAAUAUUGGACAAUGGGCGCAAGCCUGAUCCAGCCAUGCCGCGUGUGUGAAGAAGGCCUUAUGGUUGUAAAGCACUUUAAGCGAGGAGGAGGCUACUUUAGUUAAUACCUAGAGAUAGUGGACGUUACUCGCGGAAUAAGCACCGGCUAACUCUGUGCCAGCAGCCGCGGUAAUACAGAGGGUGCAAGCGUUAAUCGGAUUUACUGGGCGUAAAGCGCGCGUAGGCGGCUAAUUAAGUCAAAUGUGAAAUCCCCGAGCUUAACUUGGGAAUUGCAUUCGAUACUGGUUAGCUAGAGUGUGGGAGAGGAUGGUAGAAUUCCAGGUGUAGCGGUGAAAUGCGUAGAGAUCUGGAGGAAUACCGAUGGCGAAGGCAGCCAUCUGGCCUAACACUGACGCUGAGGUGCGAAAGCAUGGGGAGCAAACAGGAUUAGAUACCCUGGUAGUCC